GACGAACGCUGGCGGCGUGCUUAACACAUGCCAGUCGAACGGAAAGGCCCUGCUUUUGUGGGGUGCUCGAGUGGCGAACGGGUGAGUAACACGUGAGUAACCUGCCCUUGACUUUGGGAUAACUUCAGGAAACUGGGGCUCAUACCGGAUAGGAGCUCCUGCUGCUUGGUGGGGGUUGGAAAGUUUCGGCGGUUGGGGAUGGACUCGCGGCUUAUCAGCUUGUUGGUGGGGUAGUGGCUUACCAAGGCUUUGACGGGUAGCCGGCCUGAGAGGGUGACCGGCCACAUUGGGACUGAGAUACGGCCCAGACUCCUACGGGAGGCAGCAGUGGGGAAUAUUGCACAAUGGGCGGAAGCCUGAUGCAGCAACGCCGCGUGCGGGAUGACGGCCUUCGGGUUGUAAACCGCUUUCGCCUGUGACGAAGCGUGAGUGACGGUAAUGGGUAAAGAAGCACCGGCUAACUACGUG
rnacentral:rRNA from 1 species